AGUGAACGCUGGCGGUAGGCCUAACACAUGCAAGUCGAACGGCAGCACAGUAAGAGCUUGCUCUUACGGGUGGCGAGUGGCGGACGGGUGAGGAAUACAUCGGAAUCUACUUUUUCGUGGGGGAUAACGUAGGGAAACUUACGCUAAUACCGCAUACGACCUACGGGUGAAAGCAGGGGAUCUUCGGACCUUGCGCGAUUGAAUGAGCCGAUGUCGGAUUAGCUAGUUGGCGGGGUAAAGGCCCACCAAGGCGACGACCCGUAGCUGGUCUGAGAGGAUGAUCAGCCACACUGGAACUGAGACACGGUCCAGACUCCUUCGCGAGGCAGCAAUGGGGAAUAUGGGACAAUGGGCGCAAGCCUGAUCCAGCCAUACCGCGUGGGUGAAGAAGGCCUUCGGGUUUUAAAGCCCUUUUGUUGGGAAAGAAAAGCAGCAGGUUAAUACCUCGCUGUUCUGACGGUACCCAAAGAAUAAGCACCGGCUACCUUCGUG
rnacentral:rRNA from 1 species